rnacentral:rRNA from 1 species
UAGAGGAAGUAAAAGUCGUAACAAGGUUUCCGUAGGUGAACCUGCGGAAGGAUCAUUACCGAGAGGAGGACCUCGCGUCCCCGGGGGGCUUCGGCCCCCACUCUUCACCCUGUGCGUACCCACCGUUGUUGCUUCGGCGCGCGGUCCGCGCCGGUGGUCCCGGGCAUUCACCCGGGGCGCCUUCCCGCGGCCCCGCCGGAGGCCUUCCAAACCCCGUCAUCAGUGUCGUCUGAGGAGAAAUCCAAUAACUAAAAACUUUCAACAACGGAUCUCUUGGUUCUGGCAUCGAUGAAGAACGCAGCGAAAUGCGAUAAUUAAUGUGAAUUGCAGAAUUCAGUGAAUCAUCGAAUCUUUGAACGCACAUUGCGCCCCUUGGUAUUCCGAGGGGCAUGCCUGUUCGAGCGUCAUUGCAACCUUCAAGCACCGCUUGGUACUGGGUUUCGUCCGCAGGGGCGUGCCCGAAAGACAGUGGCGGUCCGGCCGGGGCCCCGAGCGCAGUAGAUAACCUUUCGCUCCGGGCGCUCCCGCCGCGGCCAGCCAGCCAACAGCCCCCCGAUUUUCAAUGGUUGACCUCGGAUCAGGUAGGGAUACCCGCUGAACUUAAGCAUAUCAAUAAGCGGAGGAAAAGAAACCAACAGGGAUUGCCUCAGUAACG